rnacentral:rRNA from 1 species
CUACGGGUUGCUGCAGUGAGGAAUAUUGCACAAUGGGGGGAACCCUGAUGCAGCAACGCCGCGUGGAGGAUGACGCAUUUCGGCGUGUAAACUCCUUUUAUAUGUCAAGAAAAUGACGGUAGCAUAUGAAUAAGCACCGGCUAACUCCGUGCCAGCAGCCGCGGUAAUACGGAGGGUGCAAGCGUUACUCGGAAUCACUGGGCGUAAAGGACGCGUAGGCGGGUUGGAAAGUCAGGUGUGAAAUCCUACAGCUUAACUGUAGAACUGCACUUGAAACUUCUAAUCUAGAGUAUGGGAGGGGGAGAUGGAAUUAGUGGUGUAGGGGUAAAAUCCGUAGAUAUCACUAGGAAUAUCUAAAGCGAAGGCGAUCUCCUGGAACAUUACUGACGCUAAGGCGUGAAAGCGUGGGGAGCAAACAGGAUUAGAUACCCGGGUAGUC